rfam:Bombyx mori DNA, contig: Bm_scaf97_contig35501, strain: p50T/Dazao, build 2, whole genome shotgun sequence.
UUAACUCAAAUUUGUAUGGAGUUGGAACGUUUGCCUACGUUUGCCGCUAGGAGCGCUGUUCCAACUGCAUACACAUUUAAAUUA